rnacentral:lncRNA from 1 species
GCUCUGAGCUACCCCAUGGCUGUGGGCCUCAACAAGGGCCACAAGGUGAAGAAAAACAUCAGCAAAAAAACACAGCUGAAGCUCCCGGCUCCUCACUAAGCACACCAAGUUCAUGGGGGACAUGAUUCGGGAGGUGUGCGGCUUAGUGCCCUACUAGCGGUGAGCCAUGGAGUUGCUCAAAAUGUCCAAGGACAAGCACUCGCUUAAGUUCAGCAAGAAGAGGGUGGGCAUGCACAUCAGUGCCAAGAGAAAGCAGGAGGAGCUGAGCAACUUGCUGGCAGCCAUGAGGAAGGCUGCAGCCAAGAAGGAUUGA